rnacentral:rRNA from 1 species
GACGAACGCUGGCGGCGUGCCUAAUACAUGCAAGUAGAACGCUGAAGAGAGGAGCUUGCUCUUCUUGGAUGAGUUGCGAACGGGUGAGUAACGCGUAGGUAACCUGCCUGGUAGCGGGGGAUAACUAUUGGAAACGAUAGCUAAUACCGCAUAAAAUUGAUUAUUGCAUGAUAAUUAAUUGAAAGAUGCAAUUGCAUCACUACCAGAUGGACCUGCGUUGUAUUAGCUAGUUGGUGAGGUAACGGCUCACCAAGGCGACAAUACAUAGCCGACCUGAGAGGGUGAUCGGCCACACUGGGACUGAGACACGGCCCAGACUCCUACGGGAGGCAGCAGUAGGGAAUCUUCGGCAAUGGGGGGAACCCUGACCGAGCAACGCCGCGUGAGUGAAGAAGGUUUUCGGAUCGUAAAGCUCCGUUGUAAGAGAAGAACGGGUGUGAGAGUGGAAAGUUCACACUGUGACGGUAUCUUACCAGAAAGGGACGGCUAACUACGUGCCAGCAGCCGCGGUAAUACGUAGGUCCCGAGCGUUGUCCGGAUUUAUUGGGCGUAAAGCGAGCGCAGGCGGUUAGAUAAGUCUGAAGUUAAAGGCUGUGGCUUAACCAUAGUAUGCUUUGGAAACUGUUUAACCUGAGUGCAGAAGGGGAGAGUGGAAUUCCAUGUGUAGCGGUGAAAUGCGUAGAUAUAUGGAGGAACACCGGUGGCGAAAGCGGCUCUCUGGUCUGUAACUGACGCUGAGGCUCGAAAGCGUGGGGAGCAAACAGGAUUAGAUACCCUGGUAGUCCACGCCGUAAACGAUGAGUGCUAGGUGUUAGGCCCUUUCCGGGGCUUAGUGCCGCAGCUAACGCAUUAAGCACUCCGCCUGGGGAGUACGACCGCAAGGUUGAAACUCAAAGGAAUUGACGGGGGCCCGCACAAGCGGUGGAGCAUGUGGUUUAAUUCGAAGCAACGCGAAGAACCUUACCAGGUCUUGACAUCCCUCUGACCGCUCUAGAGAUAGAGUUUUCCUUCGGGACAGAGGUGACAGGUGGUGCAUGGUUGUCGUCAGCUCGUGUCGUGAGAUGUUGGGUUAAGUCCCGCAACGAGCGCGACCCCUAUUGUUAGUUGCCAUCAUUGAGUUGGGCACUCUAGCGAGACUGCCGGUAAUAAACCGGAGGAAGGUGGGGAUGACGUCAAAUCAUCAUGCCCCUUAUGACCUGGGCUACACACGUGCUACAAUGGCUGGUACAACGAGUCGCAAGCCGGUGACGGCAAGCUAAUCUCUGAAAGCCAGUCUCAGUUCGGAUUGUAGGCUGCAACUCGCCUACAUGAAGUCGGAAUCGCUAGUAAUCGCGGAUCAGCACGCCGCGGUGAAUACGUUCCCGGGCCU